rnacentral:pre_miRNA from 1 species
GGUGCUGGAAGAGAGGACACCCUUUGUAUGCUCUCUCUAUUAAUGGCGAAUACACAGGGGAGACUCUAUUUGCAUAUC